CAAACCAAGUACGCGGAAGAUCGCGGCAAUGGAUCCAAAUGCCGCCUAGUUCCGGAAUUGCUUGGACACGUCCGCUUUCCAUUCCACUCACUCCUCGCCGCUUUCCUUUCUCCCCAUUGCACUGCCUUCCUUUCCGCAUCCAAAGCCUGCAACAGCAACGGCAACGGCAACGGCAACGGCAAACCCCCAUUUCUAAACCGCUUCCAUCUCCUUCCGACGGACUCGCUGCCUCUGGACUCAACCUUACUCCCAAUGGCUCUGUCGCAGCCGUCGCCGUUGGCUUCCACGUUUCCAGUUCGCGAAGACUGUUGGACUUUGGACGAUACUUCCACUCUCGUCGAAGCCUGGGGUGAACGUCAUCUCGACUUGAACCGCGGCAGCCUUAGGUAUACACACUGGCAAGAGGUCGCCGACGCUGUCAACUCCUGUCAUAAUCAUGAGAGGAAGUCAAUUCGUACGGCUAUUCAGUGUAAAAACCGUAUCGAUACGCUUAAGAGGAAGUACAAGAUCGAGAAGGCGAGAAUUCAAGAAUCCGGUGGAACGUACGUCAGCGCUUGGCCGUUCUUCUCUUGUCUCAACAGUCUUAUAGGCAACAGCCAUAAGUCUUCGACGCCGGCCGCCGUUUCUUACUGUAAAGCCUUGACAGCCACGACUCCAGGGAUGUCGCUGUUCCCGAAAAUUCCGGUUGGUCCUCGAUCCGGGACUAAGAAACGUAGUUUGAGUCACGUCUACGGGAGUUUCUGCAAUUCGCACCUUAGCCAGGAUUUAAACUCGAAAGAUGAUGAAGGAAAGGACGGUAUGGAUUCCGAGAAUCAUCUCUCGAGUCCGAGGUUCAAGGACCGAGACGUAGGGUACAGGAAACUGGCUGACGCAAUAGGGACGAUUGCCGAUAUAUUUGAGAGAGUGGAGGUUGCAAAACAGAGGCACAUGGUAGAAUUGGAGAUGCAGCGGAUGCAGUUCGUGAAGGAUUUGGAGUACCAGAGAAUGCAACUACACAUGGAGAUGCACCUUCAGAUGCAAAAAAUCAAGUGCUCCAGGCGAGAUUCAGGAGCUGGAAUCAAGAGGAUGGACUCCACUGGAAAAUCUUCUUUGACAUGGUCAUCCACAAACUUUGAAGAAGAUUGUUACUCGUAGUCAACAACAUAGCAAAGACGCAAAGACUUUUUUUUAUCCGAAAGAGAGAAAAAGUAGUACAGACAUGGCAGUUUAGUUCUUUUUUUUUUUUUUAAAAAAAGCACACAUCCUCUCACCCUCGAUGCUGGUUCCAAACUCUCGUGAUUUUCAGCUUGUUUUGGCCGAAGGAUUUUGUGGAGCUGAGGUUUGGAUUAAUCAGCAUUUCUUGUGAAGUUUCCAACAUCUUACGUGAAAAAGAAUUACAGCCUCCUGUUACACGUGCAAAUGCAGGGGUAUUCUUGUAAAUUCAGGAAAUAUUCUCACGUGAGAAAGUGGCUUAUGUUAUGCCUUGCUUUUGACCUGUGCA